CGCCCACUACCCGGCCGGCGUGCGGGCCACCGCGCUGGGGUGGGUGUCCGGCAUUGGGCGCUUCGGCGCGGUGUUCGGGCCGUGGCUGGGUGGC
rnacentral:tRNA from 1 species